AUUGAACGCUAGCGGCAGGCCUAACACAUGCAAGUCGAGCGAGCGGCGGACGGAUGAGUAAUGUAUGGGGACUUCACGAUAGAGGGGGAUAAAUACUGGAAACGAUAGCUAAUACAGCAUACUAUCGGAUAACCCAUAUGGGAUUAGCUAGUAGGUGAGGUAAUUGCUCACCUAAGCGACGAUCCCUAGCUGGUCUGAGAGGAUGAUCAGCCACACUGGGACGGAGACCCGGCCCAGACUCCUACGGAGGCAGCAGUGGGGAUUAUUGCACAAGGGGCGCUAGCCUGAGGCAGCCAUGCCGCGUGUAUGAAGAAGGCCCUAGGUUUGUAAAGGACUUUCAGUCGGGAGGCGUUACCGACAGAAGAAGCACCGGCUAACUCCGUGCCAGCAGCCGCGGUAAUUC
rnacentral:rRNA from 1 species